AUGGCCGAGCGUUCCGCGAUGGUCAUGCGGUCUAGAGAGACUGACCUUCCUCCUCCUCCUCUCUCCGGCAAACGUUCCCCUGACGACGGCCUCUCGGACCUAACAGACCUGACCUCUGACCUCUCGCCAGACAACCUCCGCUCCACCAUCACCGCCACCCUCUCCGUCCCUCCAUCCCUCUCUGCUCCUCCUCUCUCAGGACCAGCAGGUCUCUCUCCAGUAGAGGUGAUAGUAGUGGUGAUAUUAGCAGCUGGAGCUGGUCUCUCCUCUGGGCGGGCCAUACUGCUGUUCCUCCCCAGGUCUCUGUUCAGUUUGAUUCUCCUCUGGGGGAAGGGUUUGACCUGCAGACCCAUGAGAGGCCAGAUAGACCCCCUGUCACUCUCUCUUCUGCCCGCCUCAGAGCUCCCUGGGAUGGGCAGCAGCCCGUCGCCUCUCCCCUCUCUCCCCAGGUCCAUGGAGGAACCAGGGAUGGAGAUGGAGAUGGGAUGGAAACGGUCUAGCCUCCCUGUCUGUGAGGAACCAGGGAUGGGGAGCAGACCCUCUCCUCUACCCGACUCUCUGCAUGCCAGGUUCAGGAGGAGGGAAGGCUUGGCAGGAAGUCCUCUCUGGAGGUACGGACCCUCGGCUCGGCGGAGCUUAGCUGGGGGCCCCCCCAUCCCCCUGUCCAUCCCCCUCCCCCUUUCCCUCUCUUCCACUCUCCUCCUCUUCUCCGCUGGGGAGGGAGGUGCAGGCUGGAGGGGGCGACCAGGGGGGCGUACCCCNNNNNNNNNNUGUUAUGACCUCUAUAUUCUAUAGUCCUGUAUUCUACAGUAACUCUGUUAUGACCUCUAUAUUCUAUAGUCCUGUAUUCUACAGUAACCCUGUUAUGACCUCUAUAUUCUAUAGUCCUGUAUUCUACAGUAACCCUGUUAUGACCUCUAUAUUCUAUAGUCCUGUAUUCUACAGUAACCCUGUUAUGACCUCUAUAUUCUAUAGUCCUGUAUUCUACAGUAACCCUGUUAUGACCUCUAUAUUCUAUAGUCCUGUUAUGACCUCUAUAUUCUACAGUAGCCUGUUAUGACCUCUAUAUUCUAUAGUCCUGUAUUCUACAGUAACCCUGUUAUGACCUCUAUAUUCUAUAGUCCUGUAUUCUACAGUAACCCUGUUAUGACCUCUAUAUUCUAUAGUCCUGUAUUCUACAGUAACCCUGUUAUGACCACUAUAUUCUAUAGUCCUGUAUUCUACAGUAACCCUGUUAUGACCUCUAUAUUCUAUAGUCCCGUGUGAUCAGCGUCGUACCUGUCCCAAGGUGGUCUGGGUCCUCCUCUGUGGGAAUGGGAGGGCUGUGGAGGUGGACCUGAUGGGUGGGAGGGCCUUAUGGGUGGAGGGUGACCAAUCAUAGGCAUGUGGUAUCCCUGGGAAACCAAUCAGAGAGAAAGCUCAAGGAAAUACACAGGAACAUUUUAGGAAAUGCAAAUAAGAUAGUUUUUUUAAAAAUGGGAAUAGUGUGUCUUAGAAUCUACAGAGGCUACGACAGGUCAUAAGAGCCCUAUGUAGCCUCUAAGACAACUAGUGUGUCUCACCUGAGGUCCGCUGUCGGCUGAUCUGAUUGGUGGCUCUGACACCAUGUAAGGCCCCGCCUCCAUCUCACUGAGAGAAAAAAAA
rnacentral:lncRNA from 13 species